GACGAACGCUGGCGGUGUGCUUAACACAUGCAAGUCGAACGGUAAGGCCCUUUCGGGGGUACACGAGUGGCGAACGGGUGAGUAACACGUGAGUAACCUGCCCUCAUCUCUGGGAUAACAGUCGGAAACGGUUGCUAAUACUGGAUAUGAGCUUGCAAGGCAUCUUGUGGGUUGGAAAGAUUUUUUUGGUUGGGGAUGGACUCGCGGCCUAUCAGCUUGUUGGUGAGGUAGUGGCUCACCAAGGCUUCGACGGGUAGCCGGCCUGAGAGGGCGACCGGCCACAUUGGGACUGAGAUACGGCCCAAACUCCUACGGGAGGCAGCAGUGGGGAAUAUUGCACAAUGGACAGAAGUCUGAUGCAGCAACGCCGCGUGCGGGAUGACGGCCUUCGGGUUGUAAACCGCUUUCAAUUGUGACGAAGCUUUUUGUGACGGUAGCAGUAGAAGAAGCACCGGCUAACUACGUG
rnacentral:rRNA from 1 species